UUGUCUGAAUUACAGAGCGCUGAUGUGUGAUGCCUUCACUCUGGCCAAGUAAUAAACCCUCCAUCCUUUAACAUUUCAAAAAGGCACCGCAUCCGCAUGCUGCCAAGUGCCUAGUGCUGUUUCUAACAAGACAUAGAUUCUUGGCUUUCUAGUAUCAGUAUGCUACAUUUACCUCCACCACCAUCUCUCCAUAUUCCCAGUGUUUAAACUAACAGUGAACAUUCAAAGUUUCUGAAUCUGCAACGCUGUGGGGAGAGGGUUUUGUGAUCCAACUGAUUUCAAGCUCUGCCUGCAUAACCUGCUAAUUCCCAUCUCUCGUACUUUCUUCAACUCGGAUCACCUUCUCUUCCAGGUGCCUUUUUUCUUCUGCCAGCAUCUUUUCCUGUUCACAAAAGCAACAUGAAAGUUGCUAGCUAUUCUGCAAUUUUCUUUGAAUGUCGUGGACAAACAAACAUGUUGGUAAUAGGAUAAAGUGGAUCGAAAUUGACACAUUUGACCCUUUGUGUAUGAGAUAAGACACCCAAAACUUGAGAUUCA